UGGGGAAUAUUGGACAAUGGGCGAAAGCCUGAUCCAGCCAUGCCGCGUGUGUGAAGAAGGUCUUCGGAUUGUAAAGCACUUUAAGUUGGGAGGAAGGGCAGUAAGCGAAUACCUUGCUGUUUUGACGUUACCGACAGAAUAAGCACCGGCUAACUCUGUGCCAGCAGCCGCGGUAAUACAGAGGGUGCAAGCGUUAAUCGGAAUUACUGGGCGUAAAGCGCGCGUAGGUGGUUCGUUAAGUUGAAUGUGAAAGCCCCGGGCUCAACCUGGGAACUGCAUCCAAAACUGGCGAGCUAGGGUAGGGCAGAGGGUGGUGGAAUUUCAUGUGUAGCGGUGAAAUGCGUAGAUAUAGGAAGGAACACCAGUGGCGAAGGCGACCACCUGGGCUCAUACUGACACUGAGGUGCGAAAGCGUGGGGAGCAAACAGG
rnacentral:rRNA from 1 species